rnacentral:rRNA from 1 species
AGAGUUUGAUCCUGGCUCAGAUUGAACGCUGGCGGCAUGCUUUACACAUGCAAGUCGGACGGCAGCACAGAGAAGCUUGCUUCUUGGGUGGCGAGUGGCGAACGGGUGAGUAAUAUAUCGGAACGUACCGAGUAAUGGGGGAUAACUAAUCGAAAGAUUAGCUAAUACCGCAUAUUCUCUGAGGAGGAAAGCAGGGGACCUUCGGGCCUUGCGUUAUUCGAGCGGCCGAUAUCUGAUUAGCUAGUUGGUGGGGUAAAGGCCUACCAAGGCGACGAUCAGUAGCGGGUCUGAGAGGAUGAUCCGCCACACUGGGACUGAGACACGGCCCAGACUCCUACGGGAGGCAGCAGUGGGGAAUUUUGGACAAUGGGCGCAAGCCUGAUCCAGCCAUGCCGCGUGUCUGAAGAAGGCCUUCGGGUUGUAAAGGACUUUUGUCAGGGAAGAAAAGGCUGCUGCUAAUAUCGACAGCUGAUGACGGUACCUGAAGAAUAAGCACCGGCUAACUACGUGCCAGCAGCCGCGGUAAUACGUAGGGUGCGAGCGUUAAUCGGAAUUACUGGGCGUAAAGCGAGCGCAGACGGUUACUUAAGCAGGAUGUGAAAUCCCCGGGCUCAACCUGGGAACUGCGUUCUGAACUGGGUGACUAGAGUGUGUCAGAGGGAGGUAGAAUUCCACGUGUAGCAGUGAAAUGCGUAGAGAUGUGGAGGAAUACCGAUGGCGAAGGCAGCCUCCUGGGAUAACACUGACGUUCAUGCUCGAAAGCGUGGGUAGCAAACAGGAUUAGAUACCCUGGUAGUCCACGCCCUAAA